UACGUAGGGUGCGAGCGUUGUCCGGAAUUACUGGGCGUAAAGAGCUCGUAGGUGGUUUGUCGCGUUGUCCGUGAAAACUCACAACUCAAUUGUGGGCGUGCGGGCGAUACGGGCAGACUGGAGUACUGCAGGGGAGACUGGAAUUCCUGGUGUAGCGGUGGAAUGCGCAGAUAUCAGGAGGAACACCGGUGGCGAAGGCGGGUCUCUGGGCAGUAACUGACGCUCAUGCACGAAAGCGUGGGGAGCAAACAGG
rnacentral:rRNA from 1 species